AUUGAACGCUGGCGGCAGGCCUAACACAUGCAAGUCGAACGAGUGGCGGACGUGUGAGUAAUGUCUGGGAAACUGCCUGAUGGAGGGGGUUAACUACUGGAAACGGUAGCUAAUACCGCAUACCAUCAGAUGUGCCCAGAUGGGAUGAGCUAGUUGGUGGGGUAACGGCUCACCAAGGAGACGAUCCCUAGCUGGUCUGAGAGGAUGACCGGCCACCCGGGAACUGAGACACGGUCACGACUCCUGCGGGAGGCAGCAGAGGGGAAUAUUGCACAAUGGGCGCAAGCCUGAUGCAGCCAGGCCGCGUGUAUGAAGAAGGCCUUGGGGUUGUAAAGUACUUUCAGCGGGGAGGCGUUACCCGCAUAAGAAGCACCGGCUAACUCCGUGCCAGCAGCCGCGGUAAUUC
rnacentral:rRNA from 1 species